rnacentral:rRNA from 1 species
AGUUUGAUCAUGGCUCAGGAUGAACGCUAGCGGGAGGCCUAACACAUGCAAGCCGAGCGGUAUUGUUUCUUCGGAAAUGAGAGAGCGGCGUACGGGUGCGGAACACGUGUGCAACCUGCCUUUAUCUGGGGGAUAGCCUUUCGAAAGGAAGAUUAAUACUCCAUAAUAUAUUGAACGGCAUCGUUUAAUAUUGAAAGCUCCGGCGGAUAGAGAUGGGCACGCGCAAGAUUAGCUAGUUGGUGAGGUAACGGCUCACCAAGGCGAUGAUCUUUAGGGGCCUGAGAGGGUGAUCCCCCACACUGGUACUGAGACACGGACCAGACUCCUACGGGAGGCAGCAGUGAGGAAUAUUGGUCAAUGGGUGCAAGCCUGAACCAGCCAUCCCGCGUGAAGGACGACUGCCCUAUGGGUUGUAAACUUCUUUUGUAUAGGGAUAAACCUACCCUCGUGAGGGUAGCUGAAGGUACUAUACGAAUAAGCACCGGCUAACUCCGUG